ACAAUAUAGCAUAAUAACAAUGCAUCAAUUUGCAAAAUUGAAAACUGUAAACAAUUACUAUUGUCUA
rnacentral:tRNA from 1 species